rnacentral:rRNA from 1 species
UACGGAGGGUGCGAGCGUUGUCCGGAAUCAUUGGGCGUAAAGGGCGCGUAGGUGGCCCGGUCAGUUCGUGGUGAAAGCGCGGGGCUCAACCCUGCGUCGGCCAUGAAUACUGCCGCGGCUGGAGCACUGUAGAGGCAGGCGGAAUUCCGGGUGUAGCGGUGGAAUGCGUAGAGAUCCGGAAGAACACCGGUGGCGAAGGCGGCCUGCUGGGCA